rnacentral:rRNA from 1 species
UACGUAGGUGGCAAGCGUUGUCCGGAUUUACUGGGCGUAAAGAGCGCGCAGGCGGUCGUUCAAGUCGCGUGUGAAAGCCCCCGGCUCAACUGGGGAGGGUCACGCGAUACUGAUCGACUCGAAGGCAGGAGAGGGAAGUGGAAUUCCCGGUGUAGUGGUGAAAUGCGUAGAUAUCGGGAGGAACACCAGUGGCGAAGGCGACUCCUGGCCUGUUCUUGACGCUGAGGCGCGAAA